rnacentral:tRNA from 1 species
UGCCCUAUAGUAUAAUGGUAGUACAGCAGAUUUUGGAUCUGUUAGCGAAGGUUCGAUUCCUUCUGGGGUGA